UCUCCAGCGCCGGUAGUGUCUAUUUCUUUAUUGCUGACACGUUUGCAUCUUUUCGUUUGUCAACGUCGCAAACGUCUCAAUUCAUUACUCGCAUUUGAUGUGUUUCUUUAUUAUCUGUAGACCGAGCCGAGAAGGUUUCUGUCUACUGCAAUUUGCGUGUUUACAUCGUUAUUGUAUCGCCUGGCGUUAGAGCCGAAAUUAUAAAUGUGCACAGCCAGUUUGCUGUUGCAAUGCGUUACUUCUAUGGCGAUUUAUCAUUAGGAAAGCUGUAUCAUAUUAAUUAUAGUGGGCUAAUUAUGGUUUUCUUUGUUUCAUGCUUAUUUAACUUGCUAAUAGUUUAAAAUUUGCUGCAUUGAACUCUGGAUUAUUGAACUGCAAUUUGUGAAUCUGUCCUGCGUUUUGAUUGUUUUGUGAACAAUUCUUGUGUUCUGCGGUUACAUAAAAGAUUCGAUAUAUUGUUGACCUUGGCUAAAAACAGGCGAAAACCUCUCUCUCUCUCUAUCUCAACUCAAUCUAUCUGUAUUCGUCAUCUGUUUACGUGAUCUAUUUGGCUCCAUCUGACAUCUCGAUUUAUAAUUUGUGCUGAGCAAGUGCUUGAUAUUUCCACGACAUAUUACAAUUCUCCUGUGUUUGAA